GUGCAGUGAGUAGGAAUUCCGAAGGGUUCCAGCCUGAGCCUCCUACCAUACCAGCCAGAUCAUUCCAGCACAGAGGAAGCCAUCUGCCGCUAAGCUUCUUUCAUUAAAAACCUUGGAAAAAGAUCAGAUGUCUCCAUUUGCUUACUGGGGAUCCCCUUCCUGUUGGACCGUGCACUGAUUGGGUUUCUUGGACGUUAAUUUACAGCCACUUCAGAAGCAGGAACAAAAGAACAGACUGCAAGAAUCCCAGUGAAACAGGGGCUAAACGUCACAGCCAACAUUUACUAACAGCAAGUAUUCCAUUUCAUCAAAGCGAACAUCGCUGCCUCAAACGGGACAAAAUAUUAGCUUUUCAGAACAACUUCCCGGAUAUAUAUUUUGUAAAGGAAAAUGAACCGCGGGCGUACGUGAUCCCAUUAUAGGUGCUGAAUUGGUUAACAAUUGUGUGUCCUAAGUUAUUCAUAACCAAAUCUCCAGUGACCUAAUCGAGCUCCAGGAAUGUGCUGACCUCAGCAAGUUUUCUGCUCUCCUGACAGGGUGUGGAUCGAGUGUGCACAUGCCAGCCCUUGAUGGCUUCAGAGAACAUUCAACGCUGUCGGUGAGUUUGAGAAAGUGUAAAAAAGUAAACCAUCGGCCGUUGACUGUACCCUGAGGCUCUUCACAGCGCGCAAGGAGAAAAACAAUUCGAAUCUCGUCUUGACUCUACCCCUAAAACCACAUAUUGGUCCCAUCAAGAUGCAAAUUCAUAGAGGUGAGUGUUACAGGUAAUGCUGUCCCAUUUAUAGUAAGGAGGUUAUAUAUUUGAGUUCUGGAACCUUGAGAUAUAAGGAAGACCUUAGGUUUCUACAUAGUUGAAGGGUAAAAAUGUAUGCAGUGUGAAGUGGUUUAUAUUCAUUUCAAAUGCCAUGUGCAAGAUCAGGAAGAAAUACCAACUGGGUAGGUGGGAGAAUGCCAUAUACAAACCGGCUGUUGGGGGGGGGUUAUGACAUAAUGGAAACAAAUGCUGUAUUAUAGCUACACUGGGGUGGGAAAAUGACAUUCUAGGAAUUCUAGAGAAUAUAGCACAUCAGCAAAACAAUUCCGCUAGAUGUUGCUCGAUGCAUUUAAUUAUAAUGUUUGUAAGUUUUUUUUAAAAAAAAUAGAUUAUAAUGUUUUAAGCACAUC